rnacentral:rRNA from 1 species
CAGUGGGGAAUAUUGCGCAAUGGGCGAAAGCCUGACGCAGCGACGCCGCGUGCGGGAUGAAGGCCUUCGGGUUGUAAACCGCUUUCAGCAGGGACGAAGCGAAAGUGACGGUACCUGCAGAAGAAGCACCGGCUAACUACGUGCCAGCAGCCGCGGUAAUACGUAGGGUGCAAGCGUUGUCCGGAUUUAUUGGGCGUAAAGAGCUCGUAGGCGGUCUGUCGCGUCGGAUGUGAAAACCCAGGGCUCAACCCUGGGCCUGCAUUCGAUACGGGCAGACUAGAGUAUGGCAGGGGAGACUGGAAUUCCUGGUGUAGCGGUGAAAUGCGCAGAUAUCAGGAGGAACACCGGUGGCGAAGGCGGGUCUCUGGGCCAAAACUGACGCUGAGGAGCGAAAGCGUGGGGAGCGAACAGGAUUAGA